GAACGAACGCUGGCGGCGCGUCUUAAGCAUGCAAGUCGAACGGCAAGAGGUAGCAAUACCUCCUAGAGUGGCGGACUGGUGAGUAACACGUGGGUGACAUACCCUUCAGAUGGGGAUAGCUAUUAGAAAUAGUAGAUAAUACCGAAUACGAGCACAGGGGUUAGAGAUCUGUGAGGAAAGGAGCUAAGGCUCCGCUGAAGGAAUGGCCUGCGGCCCAUUAGCUAGUUGGUGAGGUAAGAGCCCACCAAGGCGAUGAUGGGUAUCCGGCCUUAGAGGGUGAACGGACACAUUGGGACUGAGAUACGGCCCAGACUCCUACGGGAGGCAGCAGCUAAGAAUAUUCCGCAAUGGACGAAAGUCUGACGGAGCGACGCCGCGUGGAUGAAGAAGGCCGGAAGGUUGUAAAAAUCCUUUUGAAACUGAAGAAUAAGCGUUGUAGGGAAUGACAGCGUGGUGACAGUAGGUUUUGAAUAAGCAACGGCUAAUUACGUGCCAGCAGCCGC
rnacentral:rRNA from 1 species